CCGAACGUUUUUCGUGGUCGCCCCCUUUAGAGUCGUCACUGAACGUUUUUCGUGGUCGCACCCAUAGAGUCGUGACUGAACGUUUUUCGUGGUCGCCCCUUUAGAGUCGUGACUGAACCUUUUUCGUGGUCAUACCCCCAAUAGCUGUGACGGAACGUUUUUCCUGGGUAUACUCCUUACUUUCUUUGUGUUCACACAUUUUAGAUUCGUAACUGAACGUUUUUCAUGGUCACACCCAUAGAGCUCAGACGGCACGUUUUUCGUGGUCACGCCCUUUAAAGUCACGUUUUUCAUGGGUGGUCACACCCUUUAGAGUUAUGGCUGAACGUUUUUAGUUGUCACACCCUUUAGAGUCGUGACAGCACGUUAUUCUUGGUCACACCCAUGGAGCCGUGACUGAAAGUUUUCGUGGUCACGCCCGUAGAGUUGUGCCUGAACGUCUUUCGUGGUCACACCCUUUAGAUUCGUAACCGAACGUUAUUCUUGGUCACACCCAUAGAGUCGUGCCGAACGUUAUUCUUGGUCACACCCAUAGAGUCGUGACUGAACGUUUUUCUUGGUCACACCCUUUAGAUUCGUAACUGAACGUUUUUCGUGGUCACACCAGUUAGAAUCGUGACGUGACGAACUCAACAUAUUAAACACUAGCGUAUAAGCCCGUCUCCCACCGGGCGACGGGCUUAUUUGAUUUCGUGAAAAUUAAGUGGUAUUUCAUAAUUCCACCGAAUGAUUUUUGUUUUCUACCUAUAUUAUUAGCUGGUAAUGUCGGUUGGCAACGGAAGUGAAACUUUCACCACUUUCACUUCCGUCACGGAAAAUUACUUUCACUUCCGUUGCAGACAAACAUUUCCAGCUUAUAAUAUAGAUGGCGCUAUACAACGUGACAAUCAAGUUCACGCUCCUUUGCUCUGUGUGAAUAUAAAUGUUUAACAAUUAUUCAGCAGGCAUUUGUAUCGCAAAAACUAAAUAAAAUGUUUUUACUUAGAGCCCGCAUUGCGGGCUUAAGAGACUAGUAUAAUUUAAAGUGGUUGAAAUUAUAGUCGAAAAAAUAAUUACAGUUGUAGAGUUACAAAUUUUGUAAUCAAAUUUUGUAAAGUGUAGGAUUUAAACGACUUUGCAACUUUUUUUAUGUAUAAUUAAACUAUUGAAGAGUAACUCUUAUUCCUCUUGAAUUAAUCGAUACGCAAAUUCUGGAAAAUGUUAACAUAGGUAACUUCCAAAGUUUUUGCAUGUUCGAAACAGUUCAUAAGUUUUUUAGGUUUUCUGAAUGAAAUUUUUCGUAAAAAGGGGUGUAAUUUUUUUCCCCAAAAAAUUACGAAGAAACUCGAAUUUUUUUUAUUUGCGAAGAUUGCUGAUUUCGAAAACCAUUUAUUUAUCAAAUAAGUUGUGAUGCGAAACGAUACGUGUACAUCAGUACUACUUGAAACUGAGGAAGGUUUAUAAUGGAAAUAAAUAUUAGGUCCUCUCAAAGCUCUAAAAAAAGAGCAGAUUUUUCUGCUCAUCGCUCAUUCUGAUCUUUUGUGCUCGGCUGUGCGCAUGCGAUUUCGCUCAAAAUCAGAUUUUCUUGCUCAACAAAAAAAUCGAGUUUUGGGUUGAUUUUUUCUCUCAUAAUCCUGCUCAUUCUGCUCCACAUCAGCAAAUCAGUUGUUUGUUUACUUCAAUUUUUGGUUUAAAACUUAAGUAAAGUUUUGUAAAACAUAUUAUUUAUCAUUAUGGGUCCCAAGACCAAGGUUAAGAGUACCAGUGUCGAAAAUGUUGUAAAUCCCGUAAUUUGUCGUAACAAGUGGAGGUAGGCGGCCGAAAAACAUUUCGCUGGACACCACAAAUAAAAAUUGACAUGACACAUUAUGUCGUCGACAAUAACACCGCAUUUAAGGUGACCAACCGCACUGAAUUCCUUGGUCGUCUCCAAGAUGCUUUGGCCCUUAACUGCGAAGAAAGUCAAAUAAAAAUGGAUUUGGCAGAUUUCUUAAAACGUACACAAAGACUAAAGAGAAGUUAAACCAGUCGGGUUUUGGGAUUGACCCUCAGAAAGACGAAACUCUGGACAAAAGUGCGGUCAUUUCCAUCCAUUACAUGAAAUCAAAUGAUUUUCAAUGCGAUAAAAUUACGAUUCAGCGAAGCCACUGGAACUCAAAAUUCAAUUGGAAACUAUUAAAUCUAAAUUUUAGAUAUUUGACUUAUAAAAUUGUUUAUUGCUGCUACAUAAAAUAAAUUAUUUGAGAUAAU